rnacentral:rRNA from 1 species
UAGCCGUAAACGAUACUCGCUAGGUGUCGGCCACGGUGCGACCGUUGUCGGUGCCGUAGGGAAGCCGUGAAGCGAGCCACCUGGGAAGUACGGCCGCAAGGCUGAAACUUAAAGGAAUUGGCGGGGGAGCACAACAACGGGUGGAGCUUGCGGUUCAAUUGGAUUCAACGCCGGAAAUCUUACCGGGACCGACAGCAACAUGAAGGCCAAGCUGAAGACUUUGCCGGAUUAGCUGAGAGGUGGUGCAUGGCGUAGUCGUGU